CGAGACAUUAAAAAACGACCACAUACAUUUGAGUACAGAUUUUAACACUCACAACUUUUAACAACCAACUUUUAGCACUAGAUUAUUUUAAAACAUGUAACUGGAAGUUUCUUUUGGCUUGGAAAUCUUUUUUCAUGUAAUGACUGUCUUAGCGAAUGGCAGGUGUGCUGUUGGGAACUGCUAUAUCCUGCGUAAAGAUCAUAAAUAUGUUGUUAAGAUGUCAGCGAGCUAUUCAACUGAAUGAAAUACCAAGUUAUGCACAUAUGCUUUCUGGUCACGACGUUUCGUAGAGGCCAGUAUAUCUAUCUUCUAAGCUGGGAAAAAAAUGGGACAAGCUGGAAGCUGAAGUGAAGAAACAUGUUCCUCUUUUAGCUCCAGAGGCUUUGGCUUUGUUUACUUUUUAUACUAUUUCUAACUAUCGUUUUUGAAAGUAUAGUGCAAGAUAGGAUGAAAAGCUAGAUGGACAUGCAGGUAUAUAUGAGCAAGUUUUCCAGUGAUAUAUUCAAAGUACGGAUGAGAACGUGACGCAAAUCAUGAACAAAUAAAUCAUUUGUAAGACAAUUUACUUUCUCGGGUGGUUUUGGGUGUGACGUUCGAAGUUGAGAAUGAUAAUGUUGACUACAAAAGGGAGAGUGGUUAGGAGUCCGAAAGAGGACGAGAAGAAAAAUUUCUCUUAAACCUAAGUUAAAAGGAUUUCUUCGUUAAAAUGUAUACAGUCUUCUUUUUCUUUGUUGGACAACCCCAUAGAGUAUAUCCUUUUCAAGUUCCAAAAUAUAUACGAGU